rnacentral:rRNA from 1 species
GAUGAACGCUGGCGGCGUGCCUAAUACAUGCGAGUCGAGCGAACGGACGAGAAGCUUGCUUCUCUGAUGUUAGCGGCGGACGGGUGAGUAACACGUGGAUAACCUACCUAUAAGACUGGGAUAACUUCGGGAAACCGGAGCUAAUACCGGAUAAUAUUUUGAACCGCAUGGUUCAAAAGUGAAAGACGGUCUUGCUGUCACUUAUAGAUGGAUCCGCGCUGCAUUAGCUAGUUGGUAAGGUAACGGCUUACCAAGGCAACGAUGCAUAGCCGACCUGAGAGGGUGAUCGGCCUCACUGGAACUGAGACACGGUCCAGACUCCUACGGGAGGCAGCAGUAGGGAAUCUUCCGCAAUGGGCGAAAGCCUGACGGAGCAACGCCGCGUGAGUGAUGAAGGUCUUCGGAUCGUAAAACUCUGUUAUUAGGGAAGAACAUAUGUGUAAGUAACUGUGCACAUCUUGACGGUACCUAAUCAGAAAGCCACGGCUAACUACGUG